rnacentral:piRNA from 1 species
UCCUGGUUUAACUGUCGAGUGUUAC